CAAACAACCAGCAGAAAAACAGAGUCAAUCUGCAGUGUUUCCAGAGAACAAAGUAAGAACAAAUGUUUUAUAUAAUAAUCUAUUUGGAAACUACCUACAGUAGAUCUUAAUUAAUCUAAUUACUUAUUUAUAGUGUACAGCUUACACUCCCAAAGCUCUGUCUACACAUGCAUUAACAUAUGAACUGGUUUUUAUUUCCAGUGCAACAAAAAUAUUAUAGAUACUAUUAAUUAAGAGUAAAAGAGAUUCCCGGUUAAAAUCUCUCUUAAGACUGAAAUGUCUCCCCGGGAAGUUUCAUUUGACAUCAUUCAUAAAAGGGGCAGCUGCGCCCUCAUAACCUGGGCUGCAUCUGUUUGCUGUGUCUUCAGAUGCAGGUUGAUUUGCUUGUUCUUGUGAAGGUCGCCUAAGCUGCCAUUAGGUGUCACUAUAUGCUAAGGUUUAAGUGUGACCUGCUGCUCAGGAGGGUUACCUGAGGUGAAAAGUCCCAGAGUUCAGUUUAACUCUGUUUAAAGUGAGACUGACUUUCUGACAAAGGACCAACCAGGGCCGGCCAAAGACUGAGCGAAUGGGGAUACUCACCAGACAUACAUGAGCACCAUGGUCCUCAGACGGAGGACCGGAUGGAGGACCAGCUGCAGGACACCUGCGCCCCUCUUGUCGUGGUUACCGGCUUUAGCAGCACCAACUCGCUGCAGCAUCAGACAGCAGGAAGAACAGGACACCAGACGAGUUGGCUGCGGUGGCCAGGCUCCUCCACGGCUGGAUAAAGUAGCCCAGAGCUCCAAACAGGGCUAUGCCGACCGCAAAAGUCAUACUGGUCAAUGUCCCUGAAGAAGUAAAGAAAUAAAAACUCUAACUCUGA